AGCCAGCAUUGCAUAGCAGUUUUUGUGUUGGACUACAACUCUGGAGAUCAGGGUUCAAUUCCCUGCUUGGCUA